GGAGGGCUGGCCGAGUGGUCUAAGGCGGCGGAUUGCUAAUCCGCAGCAGGGGUACUACUCCUGUCGAGAGUUCGAAUCUCUCGUCCUCCG
rnacentral:tRNA from 1 species